rnacentral:rRNA from 1 species
CCUACGGGGGGCAGCAGUGGGGAAUUUUCCGCAAUGGGCGAAAGCCUGACGGAGCAAGACCGCGUGAGGGAGGAAGGCUCUUGGGUUGUAAACCUCUUUUCUCAGGGAAGAAGAAAGUGACGGUACCUGAGGAAUCAGCCUCGGCUAACUCCGUGCCAGCAGCCGCGGUAAUACGGAGGAGGCAAGCGUUAUCCGGAAUUAUUGGGCGUAAAGCGUCCGCAGGUGGCUCGCUCAAGUCUGCUGUCAAAGACCGGGGCUUAACUCCGGAAAGGCAG